AGUUUGAUCUGAUUGAAACUUAUUGCUCAUGCCAAAAGUCCCAGCAGAAAUACAAUGACCUCUGUAGUGAGGAGCUGGAUCUGCUGGUGUCGGCCCCUGCGAUGAGUGUGUGUCAAGGAGGAAGACUCUGCAGAUAAAUCUCAUGAUAAUACCUUUUGUACUCACAGCACAUGAAGC